ensembl:snRNA U6 U6 spliceosomal RNA
GUGCUCACUUCGUCAGCACAUAUGCUAAACUGGAACGACACAGAGAUUAGCAUGGCCCCUGACACACAAAUACGUGAAGCAUUCCAUAAAUUU